AGUGAAAGCAGCAGUCUACCGCUCCUCCCUCACUCCUCCCUCUCCUCUAAAAUCGUCACAUCCACAACCAGGAUGGUUGCGCCCGUAACGGCAAAUUCGAUGACUCAUAGCAGAUCUCCAAAAACCAAUGGGUGACGUCACACAUGCUCUGUCCAUUAAUAUACAGUCUAUGGUUACAAUCC